rnacentral:rRNA from 1 species
AACGAACGCUGGCGGCAUGCCUAACACAUGCAAGUCGAACGAGACCUUCGGGUCUAGUGGCGAACGGGUGCGUAACGCGUGGGAACCUGCCCUUAGGUUCGGAAUAACUCCCCGAAAGGGGUGCUAAUACCGGAUAAUGUCUUCGGACCAAAGAUUUAUCGCUUUUGGAUGGGCCCGCGUUGGAUUAGCUAGUUGGUAGGGUAAAAGCCUACCAAGGCGACGAUCCAUAGCUGGUCUGAGAGGAUGAUCAGCCACACUGGGACUGAGACACGGCCCAGACUCCUACGGGAGGCAGCAGUGGGGAAUAUUGGACAAUGGGCGAAAGCCUGAUCCAGCAAUGCCGCGUGAGUGAUGAAGGCCUUAGGGUUGUAAAGCUCUUUUACCCGGGAUGAUAAUGACAGUACCGGGAGAAUAAGCUCCGGCUAACUCCGUG